rnacentral:pre_miRNA from 1 species
AUUUUACUCCCUCCGUCCAAAAAAGCUUGUCCCAAGCUUGUCCCUCAAAUGGAUGUAUCUAGCACUAACUUGGUGCUAGAUACAUCCAUUUGAGGGACAAGCUUUUUCGGACGGAGGGAGUAUGUA